CUGUACGCCACUCCAGCAAUACUGCAAUUUCGUUCUACCGAUGCCUUCCCUGGGGUGGGAUAGUUUUCAGCUUGCUCAAGGCAAUCGGCGACUACGCGAAGGUGGUUCGGAACGCAAAUCAAACGUACAAAACUCUGUGCACAAAAGGCACCGGGGGACACCAAUGUUCGGUAAGCGGACGACUGUAAAACGGUGCCUCGACGAAAAACUGGAAACUGGAGCGCAAUUGGACGAACAUGAAGGCAAGGUGCGCAAAGGAUCGGAACGAAUCGUUGCGAAAUCUGCCAGAGAUGCUGUGUGUGUGUGUGUGUGUGUGUGUGUGUACAAUCAGAGGUAGCAAACUGUCCUUGACACGCACGUGUAUGGAGUGAAGAUUCGUCCAGCUGUUUUUUUUUGCGUUCUCCAGCAUAGCACAACGAGAUGGCUUCACUGUCGUGUAUUGGGUUGUGGAGGUAGUAGCAUGGGGCAGGUCGGAGCCCUGGAGUCCACCGGUGGCGGUGAUGGUGAGAGAUUUCAAAUUUACUUCCGCACAAUUACGAAUUGAUAUUGCAGCAGUGCUUCUUGGGGCGAAGAAGCAACGAUAUUUUCUGUGGACCAGCAGUUGUUCUAGAAACACCGGGCGGACGAUGGGCGCGACGCUUCGGCAGGGGAAACAUUUUUGCUUUCAAUUUUCUCUGCAAAAGACCGGCGGAGCUGACAGGGAACGCUCCGGCAAUAAUGCCGGAGCGUAGAACGCGGUAGAAUGUUUGCCAAUGUACGUCUCCGGCUGCUGUCACUUCAUUAGCAUGUCUUUUAGGGUACUGCACCGCACGGUGGAUGCAGCGUCACCAAGUAAAAUGGCACAUGAAAUAAAGAAUCCAUCGUUCGCGAUCGCGCGUACCCGGGUUCCUUUUCUUACGCGGUACGGUAAGCGGUCGGAUGUCUGGAGUUUUGGCGCCAGUUUGCAGUUGCGGUUAUGCUUGUGGAGCGGAUAUCGUUAGUCACACUAACCGACACACUGACAGUGGUGAACUGACAGGUACGGCAAAUAGACAGUCUAAUCGACUGAGCGCUAAUGUUCUGCGGUGGUGUCAUGCUACCUAUGGAAGGAGCAGGAGGACGAAGGAACGGUACGAUUUUAAUUUUUUAUAUAGCUUUGGUGUGCGAGUGAACUUCCCGUACAGUACAACAAUCAAAUUCAGAUGAAGAAUUUUCCCUGGAAGCUUAGCGUACGAAUCUGAUGCAAAAAUGUUGACAAUAAUGUGCGAGCGAGAACUAACGAAAAUAGCCGUCAUCCGUCAAUAAAGGGUAUUCGAGGAUAAAUUGCUUAUACUUUAGAUAAGUGAAUAUGAAAUGUGUUCUUUGUCUAAUAGCGUUAGAAUCUGUAAAAUUUAUAUUUAUUUUUUUACUCAAAAUUCCAGUAGGAGCUGUCUUACAUUUCAAUUAUUAUUUACAGAACGAAUAUUAUUUACAGAAUAUAAGACAGAACGCAAUAGCACUUGAGAUGCUAUUCAAAUGCAAUCUAAAUAUACAGGAGAAGCCUCAUAUAGGGAACUUUUCGUUGGAAGUACUCACUGUGCGUGGAAAUCAAAUCGCACAGUAUCCUUUAAACGCAGACACACGUGUGGCUGUCAAAUGGUUGUGGAACAAA